GCUAGGUAGCGAAAUUCCUUGCCUUUUAAUUGUAGGCCAGCAUGAAUGGUUUGACGAGGGCCUCACUGUCUCUUAGUUCUAUGUUGAAAUUGUAGUGUAGGUGAAGAUACCUUCAUAAAAAAGUAAGACAAAAAGACCCCGUGCAACUUUGAAAAUUAAGCUAGAUUAAAUGGCAAAAGAUUUUUAGGUGGGGCGCCAAAAGAGGAAACUAUAACCUCUGCUGUUUAAGCUAAUUCUUACUGGAGUUGACCUGACUUAAGUCGAUCAAAGGAGAAGUUACGCCGGGGAUAACAGGCCAAUUCUUUAGUAAAGCUCGUAUUAACUAAAGGGCUU
rnacentral:rRNA from 1 species